AGUUUUCAUUGUGAAUCCACAUUCGCAGAUAUUAAAUGGAAAUCAACAAAUUGGCUCCUUAAGAUCCUGUUACUUAAUGGGUUAUAUGCUUUUUUUUUUUUAAUAUACUGAUGGCAUUCACAAGUCCAGUAUCUUAUGCUGAAAAAUCUAGAGUAGAAUCAGAUUCAUGUAGAUUCCAAAAAUUUAUCAUACCAGAUAAAGAAUGACCAUAUGUGAUUUAGAACCAAGAAAACUCCUAGGGAAAAGGUA
rnacentral:misc_RNA from 1 species